rnacentral:lncRNA from 1 species
AGUCCCCUUCACUCAAUUGGGGCUUAUGUUGGUGCUUGAAUUCUGGUUUGAUCUUGUCUGUAAAUUAUUUACAUUCUUGAAACAUUUUGUGUAACUUUUAAGCUAUAUCGCAUUGACACAUAUAGGCACAUGUAUAUCCCAUUGUUCCGCAUUUGCUUUCGAUAUGUGCCUAUUCUAGUUUCAUUCCUUUGGAUAUUGAAUUCAUCUA